AUGAACGCUAGCUACAGGCUUAACACAUGCAAGUCGAGGGGCAGCAUUUUAGUUUGCUUGCAAACUAAAGAUGGCGACCGGCGCACGGGUGAGUAACACGUAUCCAACCUGCCGAUAACUCGGGGAUAGCCUUUCGAAAGAAAGAUUAAUAUCCGAUAGUAUAUUAAAACCGCAUGGUUUUACUAUUAAAGAAUUUCGGUUAUCGAUGGGGAUGCGUUCCAUUAGUUUGUUGGCGGGGUAACGGCCCACCAAGACUACGAUGGAUAGGGGUUCUGAGAGGAAGGUCCCCCACAUUGGAACUGAGACACGGUCCAAACUCCUACGGGAGGCAGCAGUGAGGAAUAUUGGUCAAUGGACGAGAGUCUGAACCAGCCAAGUAGCGUGAAGGAUGACUGCCCUAUGGGUUGUAAACUUCUUUUAUAUGGGAAUAAAGUAUUCCACGUGUGGAAUUUUGUAUGUACCAUAUGAAUAAGGAUCGGCUAACUCCGUGCCAGCAGCCGCGGUAAUACGGAGGAUCCGAGCGUUAUCCGGAUUUAUUGGGUUUAAAGGGAGCGUAGGUGGAUUGUUAAGUCAGUUGUGAAAGUUUGCGGCUCAACCGUAAAAUUGCAGUUGAAACUGGCAGUCUUGAGUACAGUAGAGGUGGGCGGAAUUCGUGGUGUAGCGGUGAAAUGCUUAGAUAUCACGAAGAACUCCGAUUGCGAAGGCAGCUCACUAGACUGCAACUGACACUGAUGCUCGAAAGUGUGGGUAUCAAACAGGAUUAGAUACCCUGGUAGUCCACACAGUAAACGAUGAAUACUCGCUGUUUGCGAUAUACAGUAAGCGGCCAAGCGAAAGCAUUAAGUAUUCCACCUGGGGAGUACGCCGGCAACGGUGAAACUCAAAGGAAUUGACGGGGGCCCGCACAAGCGGAGGAACAUGUGGUUUAAUUCGAUGAUACGCGAGGAACCUUACCCGGGCUUAAAUUGCAUUUGAAUAAUCUGGAAACAGGUUAGCCGCAAGGCAAAUGUGAAGGUGCUGCAUGGUUGUCGUCAGCUCGUGCCGUGAGGUGUCGGCUUAAGUGCCAUAACGAGCGCAACCCUUAUCUUUAGUUACUAACAGGUCAUGCUGAGGACUCUAGAGAGACUGCCGUCGUAAGAUGUGAGGAAGGUGGGGAUGACGUCAAAUCAGCACGGCCCUUACGUCCGGGGCUACACACGUGUUACAAUGGGGGGUACAGAAGGCAGCUACCUGGCGACAGGAUGCUAAUCCCAAAAACCUCUCUCAGUUCGGAUCGAAGUCUGCAACCCGACUUCGUGAAGCUGGAUUCGCUAGUAAUCGCGCAUCAGCCAUGGCGCGGUGAAUACGUUCCCGGGCCUUGUACACACCGCCCGUCACACCAUGAGAGUUGGGGAUACCCGAAGCCUGUGAGCCAACAUAUCUAUGAGGCAGCAGUCGAAGGUAGAAUCAAUGAUUGGGGUG
rnacentral:rRNA from 1 species